GUCUUACUCAAGCGGAAACAUGUCCCAUCUUUUAUACUGCGCAUGCGCGAGCUAAACAAGUGUAAUGCAGUGUUGACAAUAGAAAAUUAUAUUGGGAAGUUGUCAUUUCUACAGUAAAAACAGCUUUUUUUCAAGUAGUACGAAAUGUGACUUCGAUUUACCUGUGGAACUAUUUGAACAGAAGGUAAAGCAGUAAUUUUGUUGUAUUUAGAAAGCAAACAGGGUCAUAUUUUUAAAAAUAUAGCGCACUGAAUAUAAAUUCGAGCAUCAUUAAAAUGUGUUCGCUAUGAUGCCAUUUUGUCUCCGGUAUAUACGGAGUUCUGCUUUUAUACUUGUGGAUAUUCGAAUUUAUUUGGCUCAAAAACACCAUUACUUCAAUAUCCCUUUCUUGUUUUUCCUUGGAUAGGUUUUAACAAGAUAGAACUUGAGAUUACUUGGGUCCAAAGACGCUAGAUUAUAAAAUCUUGAUGUGACUUGAUACUACUAACCGUGAUACUACAAAUAGAAUAUGUCUUAUAUUUAAUACUACAAAUAGAAUGUCUUUUAAGUACAAACUUCAAUGAAUUGAUAAAGUGUAAGGAUAGUGUUUAAAGUCGCUUCAUGUGUAGAAGCUGAAUUACUUUAGUUUAUACACUGUAUAUUGUCAAGAUCACAUGUUGAUAUAACUUACUAGCAACUUACUACAGACUUACUACUUGUUUAUAAUACUUUAGAGUUUGGACAUUAGAACAUUGCAAUUGCCUGACAGAGACUGUUAGGGCCUGUUUGUAUGGAAGCCGGGCUGGCCCGCUUAGCAAGACAGCCCGGUAAGGUAGGUAAGCAGGAUGAUUUCUCUUGUGUUUAUUUGAGAAAAUUUCAUUCCGCUUACCUUCUUACCGGGACAAUUUUGUUGUUUUGACAUUAUUUUGACAGUUGUUAAAAAUAGCUUGCGGCAGUAUCUUUGAACUUUCAUCCCGGCAACCGGGCUAGCCUGCUUAUGAUUGUUUAUGUGGAGAAAUUUCCAUCCUGGUCUUGGCAACCGGGCCUGCCUGUUUGUCCAUAGAAAUGAUAAUUUGUACUAUAAAAAUAACUAGACAGUGAGAUCUCACUUACCGGGCUGUCUCACUUAGUGGGCCAGCCAGUUUCGAUAUAAACAGGCCCUUAGACAACUGCUAAAAGCUGCAAGUUUUAAAGCAAUAUCAUCUAUAUCACAGAAUACUAGUGACAUACUUUGUGUUUUUUCUGUUAUUUUUGUACAAUACCUUUUUGAAAUUGUUGAUACUGGUCUCAUUGUAACUCAGUUAUUCCUUCUCAAGAAAAAUAAAAAAAAACAAAGCUGUGUGGGUGUGUUUUUGCUCCAGCUAGUUUUUACAUUUACAUGGUUCAUGUACAAUUAAUGUACAUUUAAAUUAGCUUUGUUCAAUGAAUACAGGUGCGAUUCAAAUAUCAUUCCUGGCAGGUACUUGGGUCAAAUAGACAUAAGCAUACUAAAUCAUGCUGUGAAUUGAAAUACAAGUAUAGGAUGUAUAUUGUUUAAUAAAUAUAUUUUCCAGUUAACCCAGUAAGCUGCAUUGUGCCCCAAUGCACCCUACUUUACUAGUUUAUUUCACUUCAUCUAAUGCCAGAUGAUUUUACUUAUCGAGGGAGAGUGCUGCUGCUCAUUGAGCUCUGAUUGAGUUCACUGAGUGGCAGCACUUUUCCCCUUGACGAGUGAAAUUGUCUGGCGUUAGACGGAGUAAAAUAAUCUUGCAUUCAAUCAAGCAGCUACUUUUUCAAAAGCUCAACCAGGCUAAAGAUUCUUUAAUUUGAAAACCAAAGUGAUAGUGAACUAGUUAGUUGAAACAAACAGAAUUGUUUGAUUUAUUUACUUUCCACAACAUUGACAAUUAAAAUUUAAUUUGAUACUUUUCCAGUAUAUUGACAUUAUAUAGGUUCAGAUUUGACUACCAUUACCAUUACUGUCGUUCCAAUUGAAGUGUUCCUCAAAUAUUGAUUCAAUACAUUACCUCGGGCUGACCAAUUCAUUUCAUCAAGUUCCUCGAAAUAUUCAUACACUUCCUAGUAUAAUUGUAAACUUCCUGUUGAAUAGUUUGAAUGCACCAAUCACCUUUGUUGUUUGUGCAACUAACCAAUCAUAAAUAGAAAGGAACAGGGGGGCUAGGGGGGCUAAAGCCCCCCAGGAAAUUUGAAUUUUUGGAAAAAAUUUUGAUAAUUAGGGAAAAAUUUAGGUUAUUUUUUGAAAAUUUAGGUAUAAGGGGACAAAUUUGCAAUAUUUUGUUUAAAAAAAGUUAUUUCCGAAAAAAAUUUUUGACAUUGGAGUUGGCUCAUUCACAGAAAGUGUAUGAAUAUCUCGAGGAACUUGAUGAAAUGAAUUGGUCAGCCCGAGGUAAUGUUUUGAAUCAAUAUUUGAGGAACACUUCAAUUGGAACGACAGUAAGGGACCAUCAACCAAUCAAAUGCAUUUGAUAUAUUCGAUCAACCAUUAUAAUGAAAGUGUGAGUUUAUUCAUAAACUAAUUAUAAAUCAACUUCCAUGCAAUGCUUUAUGCAAUCAUCUAGUUAUGCACCAGUCAAUGUAAAUCCCUGCCCCCAACCGGGGAGGGUGGAAGGUUUAUCGGGGAAAGUGGUCAGUUUUCAUUAUAAAUUUGUCCCCGAUGAUGGGAGACUUGGACAGUGGUUAACAUAUAUAUCCUGUGUUGCUGUUUUAGUUUUCUUGACAAGAAAAGUUUAAAUACAAUAACAUAAAUGAAUUUGAUUUUCUAUUGCUGAUCUAUGAUUAUACAAAACUAUUUUCCUGGGGUUGAGAGACAUGCAGGGUACAUUGAUGUCCCUGGGGGCGGGGCCAAUUUCGCUCUUUUACUACCCCUCCAAGUCAAAAUCCCUGCCCUUCCCCAGUUCGGGGGUUUACGUUGACUAGUGCAUUAAUUAAAGAAGUGUCAGUGCCACAUAUGUAGUAAAAGCCAACUUGUCAGUAAAGGCCACAGAGCAAGAUUGUAUUUCAAAGACUGUCAGUGACAAAAACAAUUGAUAGUCCUGAAAUAGAGUAUGCCAACAGUUAGUAUACUGCAAGUAACUAUUCUAUCAACAAGAUAAAAAUAAUGUGUGUGUUUUACAAGUGUUUUUUAUAUAUCAAUCCAAUGGCAUGUAACCUAAAAUUCAGCAGUGUCUGUGUAAUGAAAU